UUGCUCAACCCUAGUUAAAUGUGAGAAGGCGGCAAGCCCAUAGAGAAAUGAAUAUUACAUACUUUUAAUUACUCUAUGGGCAAGCCUCUUGAGUCUUGAAGUCUUGAUAUUGAAUACUAACCAUUAUUUCUAUUCUUUUUCUUUUACGUUGUAGGCAAUGGUCAGAAAAUAAGUGUGAAAUACCAAAAAAGACCCUUUUACAAUUCCAGCAUAUCGUGUACGUACCCAUGGAAGACGGCAAGAUAGAAAGUGGCAUGCAUAGGGCUGGUAGAUAGGAUUUUAACUCUCUUCCUGAAUAAGGAGGCAGCAAUGGCGAAGGGAGUCCAUGCAAGAGGACCCAUGUAUUUGAUUUAAAAUAGUAUCUUAGUCAUCAACAAAAAGGAGACUUUCCCAGUGUUUUACCACCCUUGGAUGGCUAUCAGUAGGAAUUCAAAAGAGCAACAGCCUCAAAUUACUAUCCUGUGGCACAGCAGAAACUGCAGAAAAACCCUCAGACAUUGACUUUGCAACUGUAAAAAUCUGUUGUAGUGAGGUCAGGUACUUUACGUGAAAAUCGAGUAGAAAAUAGCCCACUAAGGUCAAAGCAAGAAUGGAAAACUGAAAAAAAAGGCUUCUGUCAUAAGUCUGCAUGUCAAGAUGUUGUAGUUGUUCAAUGGAAGGAACAAAGCUGUAGCAGCUGCUUCAAAUUUUGACGUAUCUGCAAAUACAACAGCUCCACGUUACUGCAGAGAAACUAAAUCUAAGGUAAAUUUUCCACAGCCAGGCAUAAUAUAUAAUUAUAAUAGAGGGAUGGGUAGGGUAGAUAAAUUAGACAACAUAGUUGCCAACUAUCGGACCCGAAUAAGACAAAGAAAAUGGUGGUGGCCAAUUUUAUAUUUCGAAGAAACAUAGCCCUAGCUUUGCGGUAUUCAUAUGGCGUAAAGUCUGUAAAAGGGAAACUAAGACCAACCUUACCGCUGGAUGUUAGAUUUGAUAAUAUCAAUCAUUUGGUGGAAUAUUCUGAGACUGAUAGAAGGUGUGCAUUUUGCAAAAAAAGGAAAUUUUGUUUGCAUAAAAUGUAAUGCGGGCUUACACCCCAAAUA
rnacentral:lncRNA from 1 species